UAAGCAGGAAUGAUAUGGCAUCUGUUAAUAUUACCACGCGAAAUUUAUUUGAAAACGAUAUUGAAGACAAUUUAUCAUUUAUGGUCAGAUGAGUCUUUUGAAAACGUAUUCUAUUUUGAGCAUCUAAUAGAGUUGUGAUUUUAAAGAAAUUAUCACUGAUACUGAUAGACCGUAAUAAUCAUAAAGGAAGGUACAGUUCCAAAUUUCAAUGAUGUUGACAAUGUAUCAAUAUCAAUGAUGUUAUCAUGCACGCAUUCAUUGUUUUUCAAUCAUACAGUUAAUAAUAGUAAUAAUUUUAGUCGUAACAUAAUAUUUUGAAGUCUGCUGUGGCACUUGGGACCUGAGACGUUAACGUUGUGUGAAGUGUUUUAUGACUUAAAACUAUAGUUAUAGUAAAUUUGACUAAUACUAAUAAUCGUAAUUAGGUCUACACUUGCAAGUUGCUGAAGACAAAAGUGGAAAGUUUCUGUUAUACUCACAGUUUUAGUGUUACGCAACGAGACUAUUUUUAAUGUCAGGUUUUUAAUUUGGUUAAAACAUUUGUAUGAGGAAAUGAAUGGAAAAACAGCAACUCACAGAAGUUCACUUCUAAGUUUAUCACCGAACAGGGCUAUUUAUCCAUCUUCUAGAAUUUCUGGCUUUGUUGUCUUCUUAGUCAUCAGUAAAGGGUUGUUGGGACUUUGUUACUUUCUGGCUUACGAUAUUUUAAAAGCCGUUCACGUAGUGCAGUUUCUGUUCAUUAUCAAAGCCAUGUAAGUAUCUCUGUGAAUUAUUUUAAA